GUAGGGUGCAAGCGUUAAUCGGAAUUACUGGGCGUAAAGCGUGCGCAGGCGGUUUUGUAAGACAGUGGUGAAAUCCCCGGGCUCAACCUGGGAACUGCCAUUGUGACUGCAAGGCUGGAGUGCGGCAGAGUGGGAUGGAAUUCCGCGUGUAGCAGUGAAAUGCGUAGAUAUGCGGAGGAACACCGAUGGCGAAGGCAAUCCCCUGGGCCUGCACUGACGCUCAUGCACGAAAGCGUGGGGAGCAAACAGGAUUAGAUACCCUGGUAGUCCCACGCCCCUAAACGAUGUCAACUGGUUGUUGGGAAUUUAUUUUCUCAGUAACGAAGCUAACGCGUGAAGUUGACCGCCUGGGAGUACGGCCGCAAGGUUA
rnacentral:rRNA from 1 species